CUGUAAUAUAAGAUUGGAUGAGAUCCCCCAUUCUGUAAUGUAGGGUUGGACGUGGAUGUGAUAACCCCCCAUUAACUUAGGAAUUUAUGAAAUACCCUAUCCUCGAUCUGUAAUUUAGACUAUUACAAGACUACCCCUUUCUGUAAUUUUAUAUAUUAUGAGAUACCCUUUAAUUUAGAAUAUCUGAUAUCCCCCCUUUCUGUAAUUUAGAAUAUUGUGAGAUGAGAUCCUUCAAUUCUGUAAUGUAUGAUAGUUUGAAAUCCCCCCUCCCCCCCACCUGAAUCUG